GGCCUAAAACAUGCAAGUCGAACGCUCUAGCAAUAGAGAGUGGCGCACGGGUGCGUAACACGUGGGAAUAUGCCUUUUGGUACGGAACAACCUCGGGAAACUGAGGCUAAUACCGUAUGGUCCCUUCGGGGUAAAGAUUUAUCGCCAAAAGAUUAGCCCGCGGCAGAUUAGCUAGUUGGUGAGGUAAUGGCUCACCAAGGCGACGAUCUGUAGCUGGUCUUAGAGGACGAUCAGCCACACUGGGACUGAGACACGGCCCAGACUCCUACGGGAGGCAGCAGUUAGGAAUAUUGGACAAUGGGCGCAAGCCUGAUCCAGCCAUGCCGCGUGAGUUCUUCAGGCCUUCGGGUUGUAAAGCUC
rnacentral:rRNA from 1 species